CACUGAGAAGAUAGUGGCGGAACGGGUGGAGUAACACGUGGGUAACCUGCCCAUAAGAGGGGGGAGUAACAUCCGGAAACGGGUGCUAAUACCGCAUAGUUUCUUGAUCGCAUGAUCGGGAAAGGAAAGACGGCCUUUGUGCUGUCGCUUAUGGAUGGACCCGCGGCGUAUUAGUUAGUUGGUGAGGUAACGGCUCACCAAGACGAUGAUACGUAGCCGACCUGAGAGGGUGAUCGGCCACAUUGGGACUGAGACACGGCCCAAACUCCUACGGGAGGCAGCAGUAGGGAAUCUUCCGCAAUGGACGAAAGUCUGACGGAGCAACGCCGCGUGAGUGAAGAAGGUUUUUUACCGGAUCGUAAAACUCUGUUGUCAGAGAAGAACAAGUUGGAGAGUAACUGCUCCAGCCUUGACGGUAUCUGACCAGAAAGCCACGGCUAACUACGUGCCAGCCGCAGC
rnacentral:rRNA from 1 species